CAAACAUCAGCAACCGCUGGUUUUGGGCCAGCCUUGGUGUAACCCCAGGUCGGCCUUAAAGUAAAUGAGCUCUGCCGGCCAUCACUCCAUGCCAAAACAUAGUAUGCAAUGCUUGUUAACGGUUGGGUGUUUGGUUCGGCCUGAACAAAAUUGAACCUAAG
rnacentral:misc_RNA from 1 species